rnacentral:lncRNA from 1 species
GUUAACUUGGCCAAAGUUAAAUGAUUUUUAUGUAACUAAAAUAAAACUAUAAUUUUUGUGUUUGAAGUUAAAUGACAAUUAUGUAACAAAAAAUAGAAAAGUGAUUUUUGUGUUACAAACUCAAAGUUGAAUAAACACUAGUAAACUUAACGAUUAAUUAGUACAUAUACCUAACCCGUUGGUUCAGAAUAGUUAUACAUGUCCAACAAAAAUGCACCGCUUCAACAUCUCAAAUCUUUAAUACUAUAGCAACAAUAAAUCUAGUAAAAUUCCACAAAGAAAAAUCUGGAGUGUACGCAGACUUUAUCCCUGUGUUACGAAGCUAGAGUCAAACCUUUACUACGAAUAGAGAAAGACAUCACUAACGUUUAAUUCAUGACCAUUCUAAACUUAAUACUGUUUUUGCAUUGCUCUCGGCAUACAAGGUUCCUACUACAACAGGAUUAAAGGAAAAAUCAAAAUACCAAAAACACGAUUUGCUUUCUCUUACUGUACAAACAACAUUUGUUUAUUUUGCCGCAUCUGAAAGGCGCGAGCUAAAUUCUAAACCGACAAAGACGGAUCCGCCCUUGGGAUAAAAAGCAUACAGUGGCAUCAAGCUACAAAUUCAUUUCAUAUAUUUACAACUCGUAGGUUCCAUCUAAUAUCAUCAGCCACUACACAAUGGAUUAUAGUUAGAAAGCUCGCACUCCAUUAAGUGUAUAGAUUGAGAUCCAGUAGAAGUGGGAGGAUGAGAAAAGAUCGCUGAGAAAGCAUCUUGGCGAAGAUAAAAGAGUUCGACACCUGAAAACCCCGAAACAAAGCCCGUAUUCUUCCUGUCUGUCGUUUCAAGCUUCCAAAACAAGCAGAAAAACACGUUGUCGGUUCAGCAGCUCGAAAUUCAUCUCAAUAAAAUGUCAGGUCAAUCACAUGACUCAUCCUGUUAGUCGAGCAUAGCUAACGCUACCAUGACGCUACGCUGCGCCUGCACUGACGUGACUUGCAAUUCAUAUCAAUAAAAUAUCAGGUCAAUCACAUGACUCAUCCUGUUAGUCGCUAGCUGAGACAUACCACAGCAAAGUCACCAUUUGAUUUGAAUUCCCAAAGACGUAAGGGUAAACUUACCAACAUAUAUUUGAAUGGCGUUGUAUUACGUAAAUGUAUCUUCUCG